rnacentral:rRNA from 1 species
UACGUAGGGCGCAAGCGUUGUCCGGAAUUAUUGGGCGUAAAGAGCUCGUAGGCGGCUUGUCACGUCGGGUGUGAAAGCCCGGGGCUUAACCCCGGGUCUGCAUUCGAUACGGGCUAGCUAGAGUGUGGUAGGGGAGAUCGGAAUUCCUGGUGUAGCGGUGAAAUGCGCAGAUAUCAGGGGGAACACCGGUGGCGAAGGCGGAUCUCUGGGCCAUUACUGACGCUGAGGAGCGAAAGCGUGGGGAGCGAACAGG